rnacentral:rRNA from 1 species
UACGGAGGGUGCAAGCGUUGUUCGGAAUUACUGGGCGUAAAGGGCGCGUAGGCGGCCUUCUUAGUCAGACGUGAAAUCCCUAGGCUUAACCUAGGAACUGCGUCUGAUACUGGAAGGCUCGAGUUCGGGAGAGGAAUGUGGAAUUCCAGGUGUAGCGGUGAAAUGCGUAGAUAUCUGGAGGAACACCGGUGGCGAAGGCGGCAUUCUGGACCGAAACUGACGCUGAGGCGCGAAAGCCAGGGGAGCAAACGGG